AGUGAACGCUGGCGGUAGGCCUAACACAUGCAAGUCGAACGGCAGCACAGUAAGAGCUUGCUCUUACGGGUGGCGAGUGGCGGACGGGUGAGGAAUACAUCGGAAUCUACUUUUUCGUGGGGGAUAACGUAGGGAAACUUACGCUAAUACCGCAUACGACCUACGGGUGUAAGCAUGGGAUCUUCUGACCUUGCGCGAUUGAAUGCGCCGAUGUCGGAUUAGCUAGUUGGCGGGGUAAAUGCCCACCAAGGCGAGGAUCCGUAGCUGGUCUGAGAGGAUGAUCAGCGACACUGGAAGUGAGACACGGUCCAGACUCCUACGGGAGGGAGCAGUGGGGAAUAUUGGACAAUGGGCGCAAGCCUGAUCCAACCAUACCGCGUGGGUGAAGAAGGCCUUGGGGUUGUAAAGCCCUUUUGUUGGGAAAGAAAAGCAGCAGGUUAAUACCCCGCUGUUCUGACGGUACCCAAAGAAUAAGCACCGGCUAACUUCGUG
rnacentral:rRNA from 1 species